UGUGAGUUUUGACAAUCCUGCCAGUGCCCAAGCUGCUAUCCAGGCUAUGAAUGGCUUCCAGAUUGGCAUGAAGAGGCUGAAGGUGCAGCUGAAGAGGCCAAAGGAUGCUAAUCGUCCCUACUGAAGGGUUGUGGGAACCGCUGGAUACAAAGCACUAACACAGGGCAGCAGCUGAAUGAGCCACAUUUAGGAAAAAAGUAUAUAUAUUAAAAAAAGGAAACUGUUGGAUUACACCUUUGACAUAUCAGCAAAUAUCAAUCAAGCUGAAGACUUCAGACUUAUUCUCUCUUUGAUUGUUUAGACUGUAACAUUUCUUCAAGAAAAGUAUCACAUCUGCUGACUUCGAAGGACAUGCGCUUGAAAACAAAUACAUAAGUAAAAUCAGAACAGGAACAAGAUCAACCAGGAUUUCUGAAGAGACACUGAUAUCACCACAGCGGCUUUUCUUCAAACAGGAGAUGCAAACCUGGAUACUGACAAAGGAGUGCCUGUUUGCCACCAAGGAUGCAGUUACCAUGCAUGAACCAUGGUAACAGUCACUGAGCAUCUUUAUCUGUCAUUCCUUAGCUAUAUAGGGACCAAAGGACAAAACUUUUUACCGCAGACUUGUAGCUGUAUGUAAAAUAUGGAAGUUCUUUCCUUUUCUCUGAGCUGUUCCUAAAACAGUUUUUGAGAGCGAUUAUAUGAAAUAUGUAAAAAAAUUUAAAAAUAUGCUUAAAUGCUUUUAAAACAGCAAGAUAAUAGUUCUUUGAUAAUUUGGGAGGUUCUUUGGUUAUACAUUAAUUAGAGUCUAUGAAGCUUUCAUAUGGUUUUCUGUAUAAUAGGUAAGGAUUGUGCUGUUAAAGGCAGGUAAGAUGGAUAUCUAUGAAAAGCAAAAAAGUAAAUAAAUACAUAAACAAAUACAUAAAAAGGCAUAGACAAGAGAAAAGAUAGUUGAUAUUAAAAGGAAAACAAAAAAGGUUUGUAAAUGCUUCUAACUCUCCCCAUUUAAAAUCCUAAUAGUUGUACAGAAUUUUAAAAAAAGAAAGUUUAAAAUACCUAUAUAAUAGAAAAAAUUAGACAACAUUAAAAAAUAAAAAAAUUUUAAAAAAUACUACAUAGAACUUAACAUUAAUGCUAAAAACAAAGAUGUUGUAGAACUGUAAUUUUUGUAGAGUUUAGACUGAGCAUAAAUUCCUACUCUCUGCCAAUUGUUGUUGGAUGUUGUUAUUUAUCAAGGAGAAAAAGGAGAGAAAUGGCUAUUUUGGCAGCUUUUCUAACUGCAAGCAUUCCAGCUAUUAAAAAAAUAAACAAAACAAAACUCGAUUCUGUAGACAAUGUAAAUGGGAAACAAAACAGCUGUCUUUUUAUCAGACUUUAGUUCUAACUUGAACAACAAAACACAGCUAAAUGCUUCAUGUCUUCAUGAUCUGCUGUCUGCAAAAUUACCAUCAUCCUAUGCUUCAGUAGCUUCCAUAUUUGCUCUAGAAACCUUCAGGGCAAGGGGUUAGCCUAGAACCUUAAUCUUAAAAAAGAAAAAAAUAACAUAAAAAAUAAAA